ACUUUUACAUUCUCCAUCUGAUCUCAGAAGCUAAGCAAGGGCUGGCCUGCUUGGUGCUCGGAUGGUAAAUUGUUUGGGAAUACUGGGUACUAUAGAGUU
rnacentral:rRNA from 14 species